rfam:Larimichthys crocea isolate SSNF unplaced genomic scaffold scaffold5635, whole genome shotgun sequence.
GCUUACGGCCAUACCACCCUGAAUGCGCCCGAUCUCGUCUGAUCUCGGAAGCUAAGCAGGGUCAGGCCUGGUUAGUACUUGGAUGGGUGACCGCCUGGGAAUACCAGGUGCUGUAAGCU